UGGCCAUUUGUUUGUGUGGUCUGUCCAACCACUUCGUGUGUCCGUUGCUGGUCAUUGCACCUCCCAAACCUGCAAAUACAAGCGAUGAGCAAGCCAAGUCAUAAUUUAUACAAACCAGUUCAAUACCUCCAGUUCUGUUUCUACAUGGCCUAUUCAUGGCAGGAUAUGCAUGGUUUUUAAAUACACCAGAACAAUCAUUGGGUAAAGAUGCACAUUGAUCAGAUGACUGUUACAGUGAAUGUGCACAAUCACUUCGGAUAUAUGAACAAUACAAGAACAAAAAAAGAAACAUAACAGAGCUUCAAAACUGAGCCAAACGCCGCAAUUUCGACAGCCUGCAAGUGAUUGUAGCAGUUGGAAUUUCUGUAGGCUUCAACCGGGCAGUUGCCGGUUGUUUCUUCGUUAUUGGAACCGUG
rnacentral:lncRNA from 1 species